AGGAUGAACGCUGGCGGCGUGCCUAACACAUGCAAGUCGAACGUCCUGUCUCGCAAGAGGCAGGGAGUGGCGGACGGGUGAUUACCACGUGGGUUAUCUACCGUGAGGUGAGGAAUACCGGCGAGAAAUCGCCGACAAGACCGCAUAGCCUCGGUGCAAGCCGAGGAAAGCUUUCUCGAGAGAGGGAGCGCCACACGAGGAGCCUGCGCCCGAUUAGCUAGCUGGUGGAGUAACGGUUCACCAGGGCGACGAUCGGUAGCUGGUCUGAGAGGACGAUCAGCCACACUGGGAUUGAGAACGGCCCAGACUCCUACGGGGGGCAGGCAGUGAGGAAUUUUCGUCAAUGGGGGCAACCCUGAACGAGCAACGCCGCGUGCAGGAAGAAGGUUUUCGGAUCGUAAACUGCUUUUCUCGGGGAAGAGAACGGACGGUACCCGAGGAAUCAGCCCCGGCUAACUACGUGCCAGCAGCCGCGGUAA
rnacentral:rRNA from 1 species